rnacentral:ncRNA from 1 species
AAAAGGUAGUUUUGGUUUACUACGUGCUACAAUGGGCAGGACAAAGGGUCGCGAUCUCGCGAGGGUGAGCUAACUCCAAAAAUUCGUCCUCAGUUCGGAUUGCAGGUUGCAACUCGCCUGCAUGAAGCAGGAAUCGCUAGUAAUCGCCGGUCAGCCAUACGGCGGUGAAUCCGUUCC